UACAGAGGGGGCAAGCGUUGUUCGGAAUUACUGGGCGUAAAGGGCGCGUAGGCGGCCUGCUAAGUCGAACGUGAAAUCCCUGGGCUCAACCCAGGAACUGCGUCCGAUACUGGUUGGCUUGAAUCCGGGGGAGGGAUGUGGAAUUCCAGGUGUAGCGGUGAAAUGCGUAGAUAUCUGGAGGAACACCGGUGGCGAAGGCGACAUCCUGGACCGGCAUUGACGCUGAGGCGCGAAAGCCAGGGGAGCAAACGGG
rnacentral:rRNA from 1 species